GCCAUUUAUUAUCUUUCCUAUUAAUAAACAUACCUCCAAAAAUAUAUCUUUAAACCAUUUUAGACUCAAACUAUAGAUUCCCCAGAUCGCUCGCCCCUCGAUUAAUUACCAAUUUAUGAUGCGACCAAAGGGACCUGCUGAUCCCAGUUAUCCCUGCCUGCAAGGAUAUGCCAGCCACCCACAAAAGCCCAUUGUUCACACCCCAUUUGGAGAGUGGAAUCUGGAAGCGAACGAACAACAGCCCAAUUCACACCCAUUAAGUAAACCUCCAGUGCAUAUUGUCUCUGGGUCAGCACAAAUCGUAAACAUAUUGGCCGCAUCUUCUCAUAAAUAAAUACGAAAUACGUAGAA
rnacentral:sRNA from 1 species